UACAGAGGUCUCAAGCGUUGUUCGGAUUCAUUGGGCGUAAAGGGUGCGUAGGUGGCGCUGUAAGUCGGGUGUGAAAUCCUGAGGCUUAACCUCAGAAUUGCAUUCGAUACUGCAGUGCUUGAGGACUGGAGAGGAGACUGGAAUUCAUGGUGUAGCGGUGAAAUGCGUAGAUAUCAGGAGGAACACCGGUGGCGAAGGCGGCCUUCUGGACGGUGACUGACGCUGAGGCGCGAAAGCGUGGGGAGCAAACGGG
rnacentral:rRNA from 1 species